GCAUCGGUGGUUCAGUGGUAGAAUGCUCGCCUGCCACGCGGGCGGCCGGGUUCGAUCCGUCGAUGCA
rnacentral:tRNA from 1 species